GUCAGCAGCGUCAAAGAUGGCGGCGUCCGGUGAUACUGGAGAUUAGCAAAUCCUGUCCCUCACCGUCCCACAACUCCUGACAGCAGCCCAAGACAGGAAGACUUGGCUACACCUCUGCUGCAAGGUCUGCCUUGUCCCCCCGACGACCAGUGUCGGUCAUGGGACUAGGUAGGGCCUGGCAAAUGUCAAGAAUUCCUGUGGUGUUUGCAAGAAAGGAGUUAGAAGAAACCAGAAAGACUGCCAACAAGCCCAGAAGAGUUUUUCUCCUUCUUGAGGGAUGCUCUUGAGUCUGAGCUGUUCCUUUUGGGCAACUUUAACACCAACCUCAAGACCCCCAGCUGCAAAUUCAAGUUUGAACUG